AUUGAACGCUGGCGGCAUGCCUUACACAUGCAAGUCGAACGGCAGCACGGGAGCAAUCCUGGUGGCGAGUGGCGAACGGGUGAGUAAUAUAUCGGAACGUGCCAGUCGUGGGGGAUAACGUAGCGAAAGCUACGCUAAUACCGCAUACGAUCUAUGGAUGAAAGCGGGGGGAUCGCAAGACCUCGCGCGAUUGGAGCGGCCGAUAUCAGAUUAGGUAGUUGGUGAGGUAAAGGCUCACCAAGCCAACGAUCUGUAGCUGGUCUGAGAGGGAGAUCCCCCACACUGGUACUGAGACACGGACCAGACUCCUACGGGAGGCAGCAGUGAGGAAUAUUGGUCAAUGGACGCAAGUCUGAACCAGCCAUGCCGCGUGCAGGAUGACGGUCCUAUGGAUUGUAAACUGCUUUGUACGAGAAGAAACAACAUUACGUGUAAUGUCUUGACGGUAUCGUAAGAAUAAGGAUCGGCUAACUCCGUG
rnacentral:rRNA from 1 species